AAUCUCCCACAACACACCUGGCCCGGGACACCUGAGCCUCGCCUCCCGCCACACACCUGCUGGCCCGGGACACCUGAGCCUCAACACACCUGGCCCGGGGACACCUGAGCCUCAACCAAACACUACUGUAUAUACAUAAAGAUAGGAAAGAGGACUAAAAUGUUGGGCUCAUUGGGUCCCAAGAAGUGCUGAGCCAAAACGAUAAAUAGUGCAGUAACUCCUACCAGGUGUUGGAUGAAGCUGGAGAGGAAGAGAAGAGGAAGGACGAGGAAAGAGAAGAGGAAGGACGAGGAAGAGAAGAGGAAGGACGAGGAAUGAGAAGAGGAAGGACGAGGAAGAGAAGAGGCAGGAUGUUGUGCAUGGAGAAGAAGGGCAGGUGUACAGACCCUGCCCAGUGGUAGUUAGGGACAGCCAGGAGAUGAAUACUGUCAAACCGUCUGGUCCCCGAGAUACCUGUAUGGUAGAAACUGUCAGUUUAUUGAAAUUUCCAAAGGAGGGCCACCAGACUGAUGCCUCCACUAUGGCACCUCGGUUACCUAGAAGGAUUAGAAUGCCUGCAAUUGCCUAGCUAAUACAGUACUUAAGGCGGGCAAAUGGUGACUUAAUUGAGGUUUAUAAACAGCUGAAAGUGCCCACUACCACCACUACCAUCUAUGACAAGAUAAGUUUAGAUGAAAAUGAAAACUGAAGCAAAAAGCAGAAGCCUUAAGAACACACGUAUGACAACUGACUGUGUGGUGGAUGUUAAUUACAGAAGACAACAAUUUAUACCAGCUGACUUUAAACUGAAUUGUUGACAGUUCCACCACCACCACUACCAUCAACACUCCUGGCAAGGUGAGUUAAAGACUAAACCUUAACUAACAACUGAUGCAUGGAGAAACUGCUAUCACAGUAGAGGGAAGCACAGCAGUCCAGGGGAGUGGUGGGCAGCACGGCAGUCCAGGGCAGUGGUGGGCAGCACGGCAGUCCAGGGCAGUGGUGGGCAGCACGGCAGUCCAGGGCAGUGGUGGGCAGCACGGCAGUCCAGGGCAGUGGUGGGCUGGGCAGGGCAGUGGUGGGCAGUCCAGGGCAGCACAGCAGUGGUGGGCAGCAGGGCCUUGGUGGGAAGCAGGGCAGUCCAGGGCAGCAGCCACCACAAAUGUUCAGAUUAACUUUUCUGUACAAAAUAAAAUGUAAAAUUUA